ACGCUUUCUAGAGCCUAACUCAUUUUAAUUAAUAAUUAAAAUUACAUUCAAAUCCACAUUCAAAAUCUUAAUAAUAAAACCUAUCCUAAAAUAUAUUUAUUGUAAUCCAUCUCUACUUAAAUAAGCUGCACCUUGAUCUGAUUUAUGACACAAUCAUAUAUCCAAAUUAUAUAUUUCAAAAAAUAAUUAACAACGACGAUAUACAAACAAAAUUUAAGUACUAUUAAUCGUGAACCAUCGAUUACAGGACAGAUUCCCCUGAUUGGAAUAAAAAACCGCCAAAUUUUUUGAUUUUAAAGAACAUAACUUUUAUUCAUCUAGUAUAAAUUUCCACACCUAGAAUAAUGGGGUAUCUAAUCCCAGUUUAUAGUCUAGACUUCUUAACUUCGCAUUCACUAAUAAAAUUAUAUAAAAAAUAAGAUUUCACCCAAUAUUUCAUUAAUAUAAAAAUUAAAACUUACUAAUUAAUUAUAAAUACUGAAAAAAAAUAAUAGUAUUACUUGUAUAACCGCA
rnacentral:rRNA from 1 species